UGGUGGGGGGCGUGGGCGAAGAUCUUCCGCGGACUCGGAAUGGCCCCAGACUUUGCGGGCGGCCUCCGUGCGCCAAAAAUAGGCCACGGGCACAGCCGCGCCAAAAAAUGAGCGCCCGAAGGUCGGGGCGCCAACACCCCCCAGCGGAAAAUUGGCCGAAAAACGGGUGGCCUAUAGCCUUGGUGGGGGGCGUGGGCGAAGUUCUUCUGCCGGACUCGGAAUGGCCCCAGACUUUGCGGGCGGCCUCCGUGUGCCAAAAAUAGGCCACGGGCACAGCCGCGCCCAAAAAUGUGUUCCCGAAGGUCGGGGCGCCAACACCCCCCAGCGGAAAAAUGGCCUUGAAACGGGUGUGCUAUAGCCUUGGUGGGGGGCGUGGGCGAAGUUCGUCCGCCGGACUCGGAAUGGCCCCAGACUUUGCGGGCGGCCUCCGUGUGCCAAAAAUAGGCCACGGGCACAGCCGCGCCCAAAAAUGAGCGCCCGAAGGUCGGGGCGCCAGCACCCCCAAGCGGAAAAAUGGCCAAAAAACGGGUGGGCUAUAGGCUUGGCGGGGGGCGUGGGCGAAGUUCGUCCGCCGGACUCGGAAUGGCCCCAGACUUUGCGGGCGGCCUCCGUGCGCCAAAUAUAGGCCACGGGCACAGCCGCGCCCAAAAAUGAGCGCCCGAAGGUCGGGGCGCCAACACCCCCCAGCGGAAAAUUGGCCGAAAUACGGGUGGCCUAUAGCCUUUGUGGGGGGCGUGGGCGAAGUUCGUCCGCCGGACUCGGAAAGGCCCCAGACUUUGCGGGCGGCCUCCGUGUGCCAAAGAUAGGCCACGGGCACAGCCGCGCCCAAAAAUGAGCUCCCGAAGGUCGUGUUCCAACACCCCCCAGCGGAAAAUUGGCCAAAAAACGGGUGGGCUAUAGCCAUUGCAGGGGGCGUGGGCGAAGUUCGUCCGCCGGACUCAGAAAGGCCCCAGACUUUGCGGGCGGCCUCCGUGUGCCAAAAAUAGGCCACGGGCACAGCCGCGCCCUAAAAUGAGCUCCCGAAGGUCGGGUUCCAACACCCCCCAGCGGAAAAUUGGCCAAAAAACGUGUGGGCUAUAGCCUUGGUGGGGGGCGUGGGCGAAGUUCGUCCGCCGGACUCGGAAUGGCCCCAGACUUUGCGGGCGGCCUUCCGUGUGCCAAAAAUAGGCCACGGGCACAGCCGCGCCCAAAAAUGAGUGCCCGAAGGUCGGGCCGCCAACACCCCCCAGCGGAAAAAUGGCCAAAAAACGGGUGUGCUAUAGCCUUGGCGGGGGGCGUGGGCGAAGUUCGUCCGCCGGACUCGGAAUGGCCCCAGACUUUGCGGGCGGCCUCCGUGUGCUAAAAAUAGGCCACGGGCACAGCCGCGCCCAAAAAUGAGCGCCCGAAGGUCGGGGCGCCAGCACCCCCCAGCGGAAAAAUGGCCCAGAAACGGGUGGGCUAUAGCCUUGGCGGGGGGCGUGGGCGAAGUUCGUCCGCCGGACUCGGAAUGGUCCCAGACUUUGCGGGCGACCUCCGUGUGCCCAAAAUAGGCCACGGGCACAGCCGCGCCCAAAAAUGAGCGCCCGAAGGUCGGGGCGCCAACAGUCGCCAGCGGAAAAAUGGCCAAAAAACGGGUGGGCUAUAGCCUUCGUGGGGGGCGUGGGCGAUGGAAGCCGCCGGACUCGGAAUGGCCCCAGACUUUGCGGGCGGCCUCCGUGCGCCAAAAAUAGGCCACGGGCACAGCCGCGCCAAAAAAUGAGCGCCCGAAGGUCGGGGCGCCAACACCCCCCAGCGGAAAAUUGGCCGAAAAACGGGUGGCCUAUAGCCUUGGUGGGGGGCGUGGGCGAAGUUCGUCCGCCGGACUCGGAAUGGCCCCAGACUUUGCGGGCGGCCUCCGUGUGCCAAAAAUAGGCCACGGGCACAGCCGCGCCCAAAAAUGAGUUCCCGAAGGUCGGGGCGCCAACACCCCCCAGCGGAAAAAUGGCCUUGAAACGGGUGUGCUAUAGCCUUGGUGGGGGGCGUGGGCGAAGUUCGUCCGCCGGACUCGGAAUGGCCCCAGACUUUGCGGGCGGCCUCCGUGUGCCAAAAAUAGGCCACGGGCACAGCCGCGCCCAAAAAUGGGCGCCCGAAGGUCGGGGCGCCAGCACCGCCAAGCGGAAAAAUGGCCAAAAAACGGGUGGGCUAUAGCCUUGGCGGGGGGCGUGGGCGAAGUUCGUCCGCCGGACUCGGAAUGGCCCCAGACUUUGCGGGCGGCCUCCGUGCAACAAAAAUAGGCCACGGGCACAGCCGCGCCCAAAAAUGAGCGCCUGAAGGUCGGGGCGCCAACACCCCCCAGCGGAAAAUUGGCCGAAAAACGGGUGGCGUAUAGCCUUGGUGGGGGGCGUGGGCGAAGUUCGUCCGCCGGACUCGGAAUGGCCGCAGACUUUGCGGGCGGCCUCCGUGUGCCAAAAAUAGGCCACGGGCACAGCCGCACCCAAAAAUGAGCGCCCGAAGUUCGGGGCGCCAGCACCCCCCAGCGGAAAAAUGGCCAAGAAACGGAUGUGCUAUAGCCUUGGCGGGGGGCGUGGGCGAAGUUCGUCCGCCGGACUCGGAAUGGCCCCAGACUUUGCGGGCGGCCUACGUGUGCCAAAAAUAGAGCACGGGCACAGCCGCGCCCAAAAAUGAGCGCCCGAAGGUCGGGGCGCCAACACCCCCCAGCGGAAAAAUGGCCAAGAAACGGGUGUGCUAUAGCCUUGGCGGGGGGCGUGGGCGAAGUUCGUCCGCCGGACUCGGAAUGGCCCCAGACUUUAUGGGCGGCCUCCGUGUGCCAAAAAUAGGCCACGGGCACAGCCGCGCCCAAAAAUGAGCGCCCUAAGGCCGGGGCGCCAACACCCCCCAGCGGAAAAAUGGCCAAAAAACGGAUGGGCUAUAGCCUUGGCGGGGGGCGUGGGCGAAGUUCGUCCGCCGGACUCGGAAUGGCCCCAGACAUUGCGGGCGGCCUUCGUGUGCCAAAAAUAGGCCACGGGCACAGCCGCGCCCAAAAAUGAGCUCCCGAAGGUCGGGCCGCCAACACCCCCCAGCGGAAAAAUGGCCAAAAAACGGGUGGGCUAUAGCCUUUGCAGGGGGCGUGGGCGAAGUUCGUCCGCCGGACUCGGAAAGGCCCCAGACUUUGCGGGCGGCCUCCGUGUGCCAAAAAUAGGCCACGGGCACAGCCGCGCCCUAAAAUGAGCUCCCGAAGGUCGGGUUCCAACACCCCCCAGCGGAAAAUUGGCCAAAAAACGUGUGGGCUAUAGCCUUGGUGGGGGGCGUGGGCGAAGUUCGUC
rnacentral:lncRNA from 1 species